rnacentral:rRNA from 1 species
UACAGAGGGUGCGAGCGUUAAUCGGAAUUACUGGGCGUAAAGCGCACGUAGGCGGAUUUGUUAGUCAGGGGUGAAAUCCCGAGGCUCAACCCCGGAACUGCCUUUGAAACUAGAUUGCUAGAAUCCUGGAGAGGUGAGUGGAAUUCCGAGUGUAGAGGUGAAAUUCGUAGAUAUUCGGAAGAACACCAGUGGCGAAGGCGACUCACUGGACAGGUAUUGACGCUGAGGUGCGAAAGCGUGGGGAGCAAACAGGG